UGGGGAAUAUUGCACAAUGGGCGAAAGCCUGAUGUAGCGACGCCGCGUGAGGGAUGAAGGCCUUCGGGUUGUAAACCUCUUUCAGCAGGGAAGAAGCGCAAGUGACGGUACCUGCAGAAGAAGCGCCGGCUAACUACGUGCCAGCAGCCGCGGUAAUACGUAGGGCGCAAGCGUUGUCCGGAAUUAUUGGGCGUAAAGAGCUCGUAGGCGGUUUGUCGCGUCUGGUGUGAAAACUCGAGGCUCAACCUCGAGCUUGCAUCGGGUACGGGCAGACUAGAGUGCGGUAGGGGAGACUGGAAUUCCUGGUGUAGCGGUGGAAUGCGCAGAUAUCAGGAGGAACACCGAUGGCGAAGGUAGGUCUCUGGGCCGCAACUGACGCUGAGGAGCGAAAGCAUGGGGAGCGAACA
rnacentral:rRNA from 1 species